GUACCUAACACAUGCAAGUCGAACGAGGGUCAUGAUGUGAGCAAUCAUGUUGUGGUCCUAGUGGCGCACGGGUGAGUAACACGUGGGUAACCUGCCCUCGAGACCGGGAUACCCCCUCGAAAGGGGGGCUAAUACCGGAUACGCUCUCUGGAUCGCGAGAUUUGGAGAGGAAAGGUGGCGCAAGCUGCCGCUCAUGGAGGGGCUCGCGGCCUAUCAGCUAGUUGGUGAGGUAACGGCUCACCAAGGCGAUGACGGGUAGCUGGUCUGAGAGGACGACCAGCCACACGGGGACUGAGACACGGCCCCGACUCCUACGGGAGGCAGCAGUGGGGAAUUUUCCGCAAUGGGCGAAAGCCUGACGGAGUGACGCCGCGUGGGGGACGAAGGCCUUCGGGUCGUAAACCCCUGUCAGAGGGAAAGAAGGGUGUCGGCGUGAUAAGCGCCGGCAUUUGACGGUACCUUCAGAGGAAGCCCCGGCCAACUC
rnacentral:rRNA from 1 species